UACAGAGGGUGCGAGCGUUAAUCGGAAUUACUGGGCGUAAAGCGUGCGUAGACGGCUAUCUAAGUCGGGUGUGAAAGCCCCGGGCUCAACCUGGGAAUUGCAUUCGAGACUGAAUAGCUAGGGUACGGUAGAGGGAAGCGGAAUUUCCGGUGUAGCGGUGAAAUGCGUAGAUAUCGGAAGGAACAUCAGUGGCGAAAAGCGGCUUCCUGGAC
rnacentral:rRNA from 1 species